AAUGUCUGGGAAACUGCCUGAUGGAGGGGGAUAACUACUGGAAACGGUAGCUAAUACCGCAUAACGUCGCAAGACCAAAGAGGGGGACCUUCGGGCCUCUUGCCAUCGGAUGUGCCCAGAUGGGAUUAGCUUGUUGGUGGGGUAACGGCUCACCUAGGCGACGAUCCCUAGCUGGUCUGAGAGGAUGACCAGCCACACUGGAACUGAGACACGGUCCAGACUCCUACGGGAGGCAGCAGUGGGGAAUAUUGCACAAUGGGCGCAAGCCUGAUGCAGCCAUGCCGCGUGUAUGAAGAAGGCCUUCGGGUUGUAAAGUACUUUCAGCGGGGAGGAAGGGAGUAAAGUUAAUACCUUUGCUCAUUGACGUUACCCGCAGAAGAAGCACCGGCUAACUCCGUGCCAGCAGCCGCGGUAAUACGGAGGGUGCAAGCGUUAAUCGGAAUUACUGGGCGUAAAGCGCA
rnacentral:rRNA from 1 species